AACGUAGGAGGCAAGCGUUAUCCGGAGUAACUGGGCGUAAAGGGCGGGUAGGUGGUUGUGUAAGUUGGUUAUGAAGCUCCUGGCUAAACUGGGAGAGGGUUGACCAAGACUGCAGAACUUGAGUGGAGAAGAGGUAAACGGAAUUCCGGCAGUGUAGUGGUGAAAUGCGUAGAGAUGCGGAAGAACACCAGUGGCGAAGGCGGUUACUGGUCGUCCAACUGACACUGAGCCGCGAAAGCAUGGGUAGCGAACGGG
rnacentral:rRNA from 1 species